rnacentral:rRNA from 1 species
UCAGGAGUCAGACUGCGGGAGCUAAGUUCCGUGGUCAAAAGGGAAAGAGCCCAGAUCGUCAAUUAAGGUCCCAAAGAUAUAGUUAAGUGGAAAACGAUGUGAUUUUGCGUAAACAACCAGGAUGUUGGCUUAGAAGCAGCCAUACAUUUAAAGAGUGCGUAAUAGCUCACUGGUCGAGUGAAGUUGCGCGGAAAAUUACCGGGGCUAAACUAUACACCGAAAUUGCGGAUUCAUGAGUAAUCAUGAGUGGUAGAGGAGCAUUCUAUAGUAGGACGAAGCAUGAUCGAAAGGACAUGUGGACGAGAUAGAAGAGAGAAUGCCGGAAUAAGUAGCGAGAGCAAAGUGAGAAUCUUUGCCGUCGAAAGUCUAAGGUUUCCUAGGGAAGGUUCGUCCGCCUAGGGUAAGUCGGGACCUAAGGUGAGGCCGAAAGGCGUAGCCGAUGGACAGCAGGUUGAAAUUCCUGCACUACAGGUAUACUUAAAAAGCGUAAGGGACGCAGGAGAGGAAGAUAAGCGAGGAAGAGGAAAAACUCGUAUCGAAAGAUAUAGUGAAACUAUAAGUAACGAAUUAUCAAGAAUCACACUGACAAGAAAAGCUUACGAGCAUUGUAUAUCAGUACCCGUACCGCAAACCGACACAGGUAGAUGAGGAGAGGAUCCUAAGACGAGCGGGAGAAGCAUUGUUAAGGAACUCGGCAAAUUGACCCCGUAACUUCGGGAGAAGGGGUACCUAUGUAAAAGUAGGUCGCAGAGAAGAGGCCCAAGCAACUGUUUAACAAAAACACAGGUUUCUGCUAAAUCGAAAGAUGAAGUAUAGGAGCUGACGCCUGCCCAGUGCUGGAAGGUCAAGGGGAGAUGUUAGAAGAAAUUCGAAGCAUAGAACCAAAGCCCCAGUGAACGGCGGCCGUAACUAUAACGGUCCUAAGGUAGCGAAAUUCCUUGUCAGGUAAGUUCUGACCCGCACGAAAGGCGUAAUGAUUUGGGCACUGUCUCGACAAUGUACCCGGCGAAAUUGUAGUACUAGUGAAGAUGCUAGUUACCUGCGACAAGACAGAAAGACCCCAUGGAGCUUUACUGCAGCUUGAUACUGGGUUUCGGUAAUUUAUGUACAGGAUAGGUGGGAGACUGAGAAGGCAGAGCGUCAGCUUUGCUGGAGUCACUGUUGGGAUACCACCCUUAAGUUAUUGAAAUUCUAACCAUGAAUCGUAAACCGGUUCGGGGACAAUGUCAGGCGGGCAGUUUGACUGGGGCGGUCGCCUCCUAAAGAGUAACGGAGGCGCCCAAAGGUUUCCUCAGCGCGGACAGAAAUCGCGCGAAAGAGUGUAAAGGCAGAAGGAAGCUUAACUGAGAGACAGACAUGUCGAGCAGAUACGAAAGUAGGGCUUAGUGAUCCGGCGGUAGUGAAUGGAAAUGCCGUCGCUCAACGGACAAAAGUUACCCUGGGGAUAACAGGCUUAUCUCCCCCAAGAGU